AGCGAUCUUUGCUGGACUUUUACUGGAGUGCUUGCACAAAGGUAAAAGACUGGCGCUAGAUAGCGGCAAACGGGUGAGGAACACGUGAGAAAUUUUCCCUUAAGUCGAACAUAGCUUCGUGAAAACGGAGGUAAUAUUCGAUAAGGUACUUUGGCCUCAUGGCCAAAGUAUUAAAGGUGGGGACCCUUCGGGGCCUACCGCUUUUGGAUGAUCUCGCGACCUAUCAGCUUGUUGGUGGGGUAAUGGCCUACCAAGGCGUAUGACGGGUAGCUGGUCUGAGAGGAUGGUCAGCCACACUGGGACUGAGACACUGCCCAGACUCCUACGGGAGGCUGCAGUCGAGAAUCUUUAGCAAUGGACGAAAGUCUGACUAUGCGACGCCCGUGAAGGAUGAAGGUUUUCGGAUCGUAAACUUCUUUUGUCAGGAAAGAAAAUGCUCAACUCUAACAGAGCUGAGCACUGACGGUACCUGACGAAUAAGCCACGGCCAACUCCGUGCCAGCAGCCGCGGUAAUACGGAGGUGGCAAGCGUUACUCGGAAUUAUUGGGUGUAAAGGGCAAGUAGGCGGUCUAUUAAGUGAGGGGUGAAAUCUUCCGACUCAAUCGGAAAAUUGCCUUUCAAACUAAUAGACUUGAGAUUGGAAGAGGGAAACGGAAUUAGCAGUGUAAGGGUGAAAUCUGUAGAUAUUGCUAAGAACACCGGCGGCGAAGGCGGUUUCCUGGUCCAAUUCUGACGCUGAAUUGCGAAAGCUAGGGUAGCAAACAGAAUUAGAUACUCUGGUAGUCCUAGCUGUAAACGAUGAGUACUAGGUGUCAGUCCUUCGGGAUUGGUGCCGCAGC
rnacentral:rRNA from 1 species